UGUGUGUGUGUGUGUGUGUGUGUGUGUGUGUAUAUAUAUAUAUAUAUAUUCACACACACUGACACACACAUACUCACACACACAUACACACACACACACAUACACA
rnacentral:miRNA from 1 species